rnacentral:lncRNA from 1 species
CUCGUUUUCUUUUGCUGCUGCCACGUAAGAAGUGUCUUUCGCCUCCCGCCAUGAUUCUGAGGCCUCCCCAGCCAUGUGCAACUGUAAGUCCAGUUAAGCCUUUAUUUUCUUCCCAGUCUGGGGUAUGUCUUUAUCAGCAGCGUGAAAACAAACUAAUACAGGAGGAAUUGGGCCAAGCAGCUGUGCGGCACACUUGGGAAGCAGGGCUGUCCCGGCUGAUUCUUGGUAAAAGCAAAAAAGGAAGGGGACACACAGUGAAUCCUGGCAAUGCAUCCCCCGAGGGUAAUACCAACCAGGAGCAUUACCCCCAUUUCACGGGCAGUGUCCGGAGAGCUCCGAGACAGUGCAGGAGGGGGGCUGCUGUGCGCAGGGCCCUGGGCAGGAAAACUGUCAGGCCCAAGAGGAAGGUGAGGAGGUUGGGAGGGGAAGUGUCACUCUUUCCACUGUUUCUUUAACAUGGAGGACCACCUGGUCUGGUCCUCCCCAAGGUGCCUCAUUACAGGUGGGAUGCAAAGGCCCACGGGCGCCAUGGGAGUAGUGGUCUGCACAGCACAGUGAGUCCCACCCACUGUAAAGGCCCAGACGCCUCUCCCAGGAGGCACAGGGCUGGUAGGGUCAGAACCGUCCCCAAGGCGUCUAGAUCUGCUGACAGACAUAAGGCAGGAGGAGGGGCAGGUGUGGAGGGUGGAAGGAGAGAGGUAAAGCCGGGCUGGUGAACGUGGCUGCAGACGUGGCCCUCAUCCCCCACGGAAUGGGGAGCACGCCAGGAACAUGGUCAGAUUUGGGUUUCAGAAACUGCCAAGGGCUUCCCUGCGAGGCUGGGUCACCCUGGAGAGACUGGGGCAGUGAAGUGGGUAGGGGACCAGGAGCCUGAACCUGGGAAUGGCGGUGGGGAUGGGAGAGUGGACAGAGGCUGGAGAUGAGGAGGAGGCGAGCUGAGCGGGACUCGGCCGACCGCGGUGAGGGAGAGGAUGUUGAAGGCUGACUCCCAGGUGGCCAGGGCCUGGC